GGACUUAAAAUCCGUCGACUUUAAAAAUCGUGAGGGUUCAAGUCCCUCUAAUCCCA
rnacentral:tRNA from 1 species